rnacentral:lncRNA from 1 species
GCCCGCCUCGGCCUCCCAAAGUGCUGGGAUUACAGGCGUGAGCCACCGCGCCCGGCCUCAACCAAGGUUUCUUAAUUUGGAGCCCUAGGUCCUCUGAGAGUCCUCAGAUUUUCCUCAAAAUUCAAAAGGUCCGUGAGAAUGUAACCUUGUGUUUUCAUUUUCAUAAUAUAAAUAUUAAUGCAACACAGGUGUGUCAUCUGGAUGAACAUGAGAUUCUAAUAGCUGCCUAUGUAUUUGUGUUCACAAUCAGGUGUACACCAAACGGAGGGCAAAUGCUGUUACCACUCAUCGUGCAAGACUUUUGAGGCAAUUUGGACAUAGACAAGUGAUGGGAAAAUUGAAUCAUUAUAUGGCUCAUGACAGUGUUGAAAACUCAAACAUCCAAGGACCUGUACCUUUGCUAAGUGCCAUGCAUAUGUUGCUGAUAAAGAUGCAAUAAAUACUCUUUUGUUAAAUUAUACUUAUUAUUUCUCAGUAUGGGGAGCGUGCAUUCUAAAUUGAGCAAUCUUCAGUAUUUUAAAAUGACUUUAUAAUUAAAAUAGCAAAAUAAUAAUAACAAUUACAAUUUAAAUAAUGAUUAGCAAUAAUUAAGAUUGUCAUGAGUAAAAAUAAUUAUGCCAACUCAUCUUUCUAUUAAUACACCUAGCAUUGACAAUUUAAGUUCAGCCAGUAUCUGCUUUUUAAACUGUCAUGAAUUUGAAUUGUAUUGGUUGUCACUUUGUUUAUAUAUACAUACAUAUAUCUAUAUCUAUAGAUAGUUUUUUUUUUUUUUUUUUUUGAGACAGGGUCUCAGUCUGUCACCCAGGUGGGAGUGCAGUGGCACGAUAUCGGCCCACUACAACCUCCUCCUCCUGGGCUCAAUCCAACCUCCCACCUCAGCUUCCAGAGUAGCUGGGACUAUAGGGUACGCCACCAUGCCCAGCUAAUUUUUUGAUUUUUUGUAAAGAUAAGGUCUCAUUAUGUUUCCCAAGCUUGUCUCAAGCUCCUAAGUUCAAGGGAUGCACCUACCUCGGCUUCCCAAAGUGCUAGGAUUAUAGGCGUAAGCCACCAUGCCCAGCUUAUAUUUAAUUUGCAAAUUUGUUUUCGUUUUUAUGAUUGUAUAGCACACAUGUAGUUUUAUAUUUUUACAUAUUUCAGAAAUUUUAUAAUAAAAAGUAAUAAAGGUAUGCUGAAGAUCUGCAAGAAUUUAUUUUCUUUAAAAGAGAUUUGUAUGUACCCUGGAUUACUCAAAUUCAGACAUUAAACGAGAUUAUCUCUUUCACAUUGAAAACCCUAUGAUAAGGAAACUAAUAAGUGCAGGAGACAGACGGAAGGGAUAGGAACCAAUGCUGUGUCCUCAGAUCAUUAUGAGACUUUUCAUUAUAAUCAUUAAACUAUUUUAUUUUUUGAGACAGGGUCUCACUCCAUCACCCAGGCUGGAGUGCAGUGGCAUGAUCUCAGCUUACUCCUCAACCUCCUGGGCUCAAGCAAUCCUCCCACUUCAGCCUCCCAAGUAGCUGGGACUACAGGCAUGCACCACUACACUCAGCUAAUUUUGUUUUGUUUUGUUUUAGAUGGUGUUGUUGUUGUUGUUGAUGGUGGUGGUGGUGGUGGUGGUGGUGGUGGUAGAGACAAGGAUUGAGAGUGAGUUGCUUGGGUUGGUCUCAAACUCCUGGGCUCAAAUGAUCCUCCCACCUCAGUCUCCCAAAGUGCUGGGAUUACAGGCGUGAGUCACCAUGCUCAGCCCAAACUAUUCUUUCUGUCUGCUUUCCUACAAGGAGAAAGUAAAGACAGCAGAGAUAUUCUACCUGAUCAAGAACGAAAUGCUACCAUGCAAAUUCAAAACUAUAAAGGGAAGCAUCUCACACUUUGCAUGGUUUUAUCUCAUCACUCAGAGGUCAGUAGACAGGGAAAGAGCUAGUAGUUCCCAUCUAGUCAAAUAAGGACUGUCUUGUCCGUGGAGGAUUCAUUACAAAACUGCUCUUAAUAUUUGUGAGCUACAAAGUCCACACAUCUUAGUGAAUUAACCCAGCAGUUUUGUUGUAGGAACCCAGCUGGAAAGUGUUUCUAAAUGACUGAUAGCAGCUCCUGUUUUCUUCAAGCCUAAACAAUGACAAAGAUAUUUCUUUUUAAAGUUCUGGGGAGGGUGGGAAGGGCAUGGCUUUUUAAAUGUGUAGUGUUUAUUCCUAGAUUGGCAUCCUCUUUGCCUCUAUUGAUGAGCAGCACCUCUCCCUUUUAUUUAAAUUCACUAGUUUGGUGAUCACGUGGUUCCAGAGGAGAAGGCAGAAGUGAUAGUGCAGCAGAGUCCCCACUCCUGUAACCCAUGUGCCAAGUUAUAAUCUGAUAGAUUCAUGUAAUAAUAGGUUUCUAAAUUGUGGAGUCAGACACAAAAGGUCAUCAGCAGAUGGUGAAACUGGUUGGGCCAAGCGAAGGGAAUAAGGCACCCUGAAGGGCACACUGCCUUGGACUGACGCAACAUCACAUGUGCUUUCUUCCUUCUUUUAGUCCUAACGUGAAUGGAUCUUCUCAAGUACGUGAAGUACUAGAGACCAGAGGAGGGCAUCUAACCCCAGACAGCAAAAAGACAGGAUGUCCACAGAUGCUUGGUGGGAGAGAUUGGACCAAUAACCGUGACAGUGACUCACUCCAGCAAUCUGUGCCUCUUUUGCAAACAUUUGAACUCAGAUUGAGAGACUCCAACUAAGCCACUAUGCUGGGAGCAGAGAUGGGGAAGAAUUGCUGAGUCAUGAUAAGAGAAGGCACUAUAGGAAGAAACAGUGAACUCUUAACAGCUGGGCAAGCAAUGAGUCAGCCUGGGUGGUCACUCCAGAUGCUCCCGGACACAUCCCAAUUUCUAGGAUGCCUUGCUGAUAUGUACUUCUCAAGGAAAAAAAAUGGUCACUAUAUAUAUUAAACUGACAGAGGAAAAGUGGAAAUAACAUAUGUCUUAGAUCUCCAUUUUGGCGAAGACAGGCUUCAGCUGUAAAGAAUCGAAGAAUAAAAUGAGACCAACAAAGUGAAAUCAUUUCUGAACCCAGUAACUAUUACUGCAGCACUGAUCUGCUGAACCGGCAGAGGAGUCCAAAAGAAAAAUCUACUCAUCCCAAAUGAGCAUUUACUCUCAAUAUGAUGUGUUUCACUAGCUCCUUUCCUCUAAAGCACUUUUUUUCCCUUGCAUUGUUUUUUUUUCUAAUUAUAUGUGUGGCUUUAGACAAAUUAUUCCAAUUCUCUGCACUUCGAGUUUAUCAAAUAAAAAUCAAGAAUAAUCUCUAGCUCAUAGUGUGUAGAGACUGAGUUUGAUUCUGUAUGAAGUGCCCAGCGCAGGCCUGGCCAUCUAGUGAGAGAACAGUAAAUGGUCUACUUGGGAGAACUCCUCAGUUAGAACUUUAAUGAUUAGGUAGCUAAUGAUCUGUAAUACCCUCCUUAGCACCUGUUAAUCUCACUUUAAUAAGGAGAGUAUGUCCGGCCUUUUACAAGAAGCCACAGAUACUCCAGCCAGCAAGGUUGGAGGCAAGGCUGGAUCUGGACCAAAGAGGCUGGUCAGCAAGUGCUUGGGAGCCAAGUCCUGAAAACAUUCAUCAGAAACGUUUCCUGCAUCUUCAGUGGCCUGUAGACUGGGCAGCAGGCAACUCUCUAAAUUUUACUGCAGUCAGAAGUUCAGGAUGGGAACCUGCUCAGAAAGGGUGGGGCGCAGCAUUUCAGGGGUUAUGGUCAUCUCCAGGAGAGUGGAGUAGGUUGUGAAGAGGCGAGUACUUCUACAGAAUCUCUAAAGCCAUCAUUUUGACAUAGGAAAUAUAGAGGGUAAGGGAUUGAGAUGAAAAAUGAAACUACUCUUUCAAGUGUGUUUCCUCCACACUUCUCUCUUAUCCUCCCUUUGUCUACGCUCUUCCAUGGGUGGUAUUUUAAAAGAUGCCUUUUCUAGUAGAAGUUUUGUAAUACUUUAAAAAUGCUCAGAGGCAUUUUUCCAAUUUGGAGUCAAUAUACUUUGUAUACUGAUGAGAUACUGCAGUUAAGUAAUUAGCUGUCUGCAACUAGUUAAUUAAGAGAUACUGCAGUACCUUGGCCUCAGGCAUUAAGCAAGUCUAGCUGAUAAGCUGGAAAUUGGCAAAUAGGAGGAUUGACAAGACACAAGAGCAUAAUGCGACACUCAGUCGCAUUUGACAAAAAAAAAAAUUUGUUUUUCCAGUGGGUAAAUGAGUGAGUGCCACCUAAAGUCAUACAGGUGGGUCUUUUAAUAAACCCAAAUAUUGUCAGGAAAGCGGAGACUUCCAACUGUUGGAAAAUGUCGCAGUAAACAGAAUUCUUCCUGAAUUUCAUUCUAUUUUCAUUUUCCUAUCACCCCAGUCCUGAAAUUACUGAAUUCAAGGGGAGAGUUAAGACUGAGAAACCCUUGAGGUUGCCACCUGGCAGGGUCACAACCAGCAGAGACCUCGUGUGGACUUUUAAAGGGCAGCUUUUCCUCUAGCCAGACCCUUGCCCUUGCUCCAGCAUCCAGCUUGCUGAGUAGGACCUGAACAGGACUCCACCUACACUUACCCUUUGGGAAUUCACGCUCAACCUGCGCAACCGUAGGCAGGACCCCCACCUCCCACCCACCCAGAUCAAAGGAAGACUUGACUUUGGAGAGUAAAUCCUCUCGGAGAAGAGAUCAGAUCAUUUCUCCCUACCUUGGAAGGAAAGGAACAUUUCCAAGUGAAAGGUCUUGUCUGCUACUCACCUACAGCGCAAGUCCCACGGUGCCUUGAGUGUUUGCGAGUGUCUCCUCACACCCAGAAAUGCCCCACUAAGGGACAUCUGUGUUUCUUGGAGCUAAGAAUUACCUAUUGGUGAGUGGAGUAGGAAAUAGAGGAAUAGUAUCAGAAUCUGGGCGGGCCUUCCACAUGCCCACCUGAAGACCCUGAUGUGUGACCACGCCCCCUUAGGAGCAUGCCCUCUCCCACUCCUGGCUCCCAUCGCUUGCAAAUUCUUAUGUAAUGAGAAAAUGCUGAAAGAGUAUACACAUGUGAAGAGGAUCAAAGCAGAAAACAAACUGGGAAAUUACAGAUUCCUCCUUAAGUCAAAGCACUAGACUAUUUGAAUGGUAUCUCUCUCCCACACAGUGUUCUUCAAUGCCGUGCUCAUUGUGAGCUGCACUGACUGUCUGCAUAAGAAUCACUUGGAUACAUGUCAAAAAUACAUCCUAGGCUUACUAAAUCUGAAUUAGUAGGAACAGAGCUAGAAAUCUACAUCUUUUAACAAAGUCUCCAGGUGACUUUCAUGUAUUCAGAAGUUUGUGAAUGACUAAUCUACCAGGACUGGUAUCUUAUACAGUCAAUGUUUGUUUCUCUAUCAGAAUCUGGGAGGGCUUUCCACACGCCCACCUGAAGACCAUGUGUGACCACGCCCCCAGAGGAGCAUGCCUUCUCCCACUCCCCAAUCCCAUUGCUUAUGACUUCAUUCACAUUUAGAGCGUGGACAGUGAAUCCCCAAUGUCAUUUACACAGGUAUCUAUUAGCCCAAACCUAGCAUAGUUCUACUUGACUGUCAGCACAGAACAGCAAUCUAACUUCCACUGGCCAUAAAUAAUCAUGAGCUUUUGCUAAGCUGUUUCCAUUGAACUUAUAUGGGAUCAGUCAUCCAGUUCUGAAACUGCCCUAAAACCAAUCAUAUCUCAAAUACAUGCCCGUUAUCAUGUAUCCCCAUUCACUCUGUUUCCAAAUCUUGGGACAGUGCUGAGAAGAAGCUCUUUGCUGAAAGAGUGAAAGUAUAGUUGGGAUGGAAGGAGAAACACAUGAGUAGGUCAACUUGUCUCUGAACAAGGCAGUCCAUUUCCUGGCCACAUUCAGAACCUCCUUUUUAGUGCCCAUAGAAGACUCCAUGAAGUUAAAGGGUGGAAAGGGCUUUAGGACAGACCAGGAGAACAGCUUUAAAGUAGUCAGGGUGUAUUAGUUUCCUAUUGCUGCUAUAGCAAAUUGCCACAAAUUUGGUGGCUAAAAACCAUACAGAUUUAUUAUUUUAUAGUCCUCUUUUAGUUAAAAAUCUGGUAUAUGUCUCACUAGGCUAAAAUCAAGGCACCGGCAAGGCCGCAUGCAUUCCUUUCUGUGGGGUCUAGGUAGGACAUUUCCUUGCCUUCCAAGUUCUAGAGGCUGUCUACACUUGUUGGCUUGUGACCUUCUUCCUCCAUCUACAAAGUCACAAAGGCAAGGCAAGUCCCUCUCACAUCGCAUCCCUCUGAGCUCCUCCUGUGCCUCACUAUUCCACUGGUAAGGAUCCCUGUGACUAUACCGGGACCAUCAAGAUAAUCAAGCAUAAUCUCCCCAUUGUAAGGUCAGCUAAUUGACAACCUUAAUUCCAUCUGCAACCUUAAUUCCUCUUUGAAUGUAAGCAACAUAUUCACAGGUUCCAGGGAUGAGAACAUGGACAUCUUGAAGGGGAGGGUGAUUAUUCUGCCUACCACACAGGAGAACUCUGAACCCUAGUUAAGGAUGAGAGUAGAUGUCAUAAACACCACAUGUCAAUUCCAAGAUAUGAGGUUAGGCUAAAAAUAGGAAAGUAAAUCUAGUGAUCAGAAGCAUGAGGGAUUGAAGCAAACCAAGUUGCAGAACAGGAAAGAGGUUAGAUAAAGUGGUUCAGGACCCAUACAGAGAGUUAUGCAGUAGAGUUCAAGGCUUGCUUUCACAGGAUGCCAGUUGCAUUGUGGCACCACUCAUGAGCUUGAAAGGGUGUGUAGGUCCAGACAAAAUUUCACUGAUGCUAUCUCAUCUCUCAAUCUCUUACCAUUUUUCAUAAUCCUCCUGCUUACUUUUCUCUCUUCUGUUUACCUCUCUGAUCUCUUCCAUAUCUUCCUCCUAACCCUUAUUUUUCUUCAAAAAUAAAUGAAAGAAAAUCAACUAUAUAUAAAAUUGGGGGAAAAUUAAUGUUUUUACAGUAUUUUCUGAAUUUCAUUACAUGCAUAUACUACAUGCCAAUGACAUCUGGUUUGAUUA